rnacentral:rRNA from 1 species
AUAACUGUUGGAAACGAUAGCUAAGACCGCAUAGGUGUCAUAACCGCAUGGAGAUGAUAUGAAAUAUGCUACGGCAUAGGUAGAGGAUGGACUUAUGGCGCAUUAGCUAGUUGGAGGGGUAACGGCCCACCAAGGCGACGAUGCGUAGCCGACCUGAGAGGGUGACCGGCCACACUGGGACUGAGACACGGCCCAGACUCCUACGGGAGGCAGCAGUAGGGAAUUUUCGGCAAUGGGGGAAACCCUGACCGAGCAACGCCGCGUGAAGGAAGAAGUAAUUCGUUAUGUAAACUUCUGUCAUAGAGGAAGAACGGUGCGUGUAGGGAAUGACAUGCAAGUGACGGUACUCUAUAAGAAAGCCACGGCUAACUACGUGCCAGCAGCCGCGGUAAUACGUAGGUGACGAGCGUUAUCCGGAAUUAUUGGGCGUAAAGAGGGAGCAGGCGGCACUAAGGGUCUGUGGUGAAAGAUCGAAGCUUAACUUCGGUAAGCCAUGGAAACCGUAGAGCUAGAGUGUGUGAGAGGAUCGUGGAAUUCCAUGUGUAGCGGUGAAAUGCGUAGAUAUAUGGAGGAACACCAGUGGCGAAGGCGACGAUCUGGCGCAUAACUGACGCUCAGUCCCGAAAGCGUGGGGAGCAAAUAGGAUUAGAUACCCUAGUAGUCCACGCCGU